GAUGAACGCUGGCGGCGUGCUUAACACAUGCAAGUCGAACGGAAAGGCUCCUGCUUGCAGGGGUACUCGAGUGGCGAACGGGUGAGUAACACGUGGGUGAUCUGCCCUGCACUUCGGGAUAAGCCUGGGAAACUGGGUCUAAUACCGGAUAGGACGAUGGUUUGGAUGCCAUUGUGGAAAGUUUUUUCGGUGUGGGAUGAGCUCGCGGCCUAUCAGCUUGUUGGUGGGGUAAUGGCCUACCAAGGCGUCGACGGGUAGCCGGCCUGAGAGGGUGUACGGCCACAUUGGGACUGAGAUACAGCCCAGACUCCUACGGGAGGCAGCAGUGGGGAAUAUUGCACAAUGGGCGCAAGCCUGAUGCAGCGACGCCGCGUGGGGGAUGACGGCCUUCGGGUUGUAAACUCCUUUCGCUAGGGACGAAGCGCAAGUGACGGUACCUGGAGAAGAAGCACCGGCUAACUACGUG
rnacentral:rRNA from 1 species